UGACUUCGUUGUUGUUGUUUAGUUAUAUUUUGAGGGCGGGACUGAAACUGAAAUGAACAAGGCGCGGCCAAGAAUCCCCUUCACACGUGCAGACAAAGAGCGCCAACAACACAGCCCAAAUAUGCACUUUUAAACUUUUUUAAACGCAACGACGACUUCCGUGAACAAAUACACUUCAAAGGUGGGUUGAAUCUCGCUAUACUAUAAAAGUUUUUUUUAAUAAUUUUUUUUUUAUCGGGAAGCCUAUAUUGGAAAAGCACCUCGGGGCCAAACACCACAACAGGAUUUCAGAUCUAUUAAACAGUUGCAGUUUCUUUGAAGAACAACAAGAUGGAUUUACAAAUUAUAUUUACCUGACAACUUUCGGAACUCUGUAUCCAAUGGAAACGGAUGUGGAUUAUAUCUGCCUGGCGCGCCACAGCAAAGGGUCACCAAGCUAAACCAUCGUCUCAUUUGACCGUCGAGGACCCCGAGGACUUCGGAGACCAUUUUGACGCAGAGAUGGGGACAAAGAAGUUGGGACGGGUCUGUCUGAACGUUGAAAUUCAGGGCAGUGGUCCGGUCUCCCUGUGGAUCUAUCGAAGACUGAGCUAAGCCCUGGGAGGAGAGAUGAGGAGAGAAGAGGAGAGAAGAAGAGUGGAAUAAAAUACUCCGUCUUUGAUUGCUUCGUUGACUGCAUCCUCCUGCGUCUUCCUGCCUCCCUGCGCCCCACUUCCACAUCCACUGAGGGACAUCGUUCACUAGCAACCGUGCGGAUGGAUUCUGUGGGUUUGGUGAUCUGGAGCUUGCUGCCGUCAGGAAGGAACACCUUCAACAGUGAAGGAUGGACAGAGAGUCCAGCGGGCUCUGCAACCAGACUGGUUACCAGGACUGGCCACCCCUUGGAGCCUGCUUCCUCUCUAGGUUUCUUCCUAGUUUUCAGGAGUUGCUUUAGGUUGUUAGGUUGGGUGUCUGUAAACAACAGCUGUUGUAAAAAAGGAUAAAAAAAGACAUUAAUGAUGUAUUUUCAAAUUCUAAAAAUAGAAUCUUGUCUGGAUUAGACUAUGCAGCUUGUUUAGUUUCAUUGCAAGUAAUUUAUUUCACACUUCAGGCAGAUUUUUAUUUUUAAUUCAAGCUUUUCUUUUUGGCCAUUUCAAGAUUUUUUAAACCCAAGGAAGCCUUUUUUGCAGUGGGACUGGUAGAGGAUUUAGAGCAGAUGUUAGGGGAGAGAUUCCAUGGCCUCCCAGCAUCUACGAAGACAGGCCCAAGGCCAGUUGAACAGGACCGGGUUAAUGGGUCAUGUGCCUUGGCUAAUUUUGUCCCAAGUGUUGCAGGAAAUGUGUACCGGACAGUAGCAUUAAAUUAUCUUUUAAACUGCAAACUUCCCUCAGCCUCAUGGCACCACGUGAACAAAUCAUCGGAUGAACUACAUAAACCAGUAAAUCUUUUGAGAAAAAACGCGGAGCACUUGCAGAACAUUUUCUCUCUACCUUAUGAGAAAAAAGGCAGAAUAGCAUUAACUUCAAAACUCUCUCUGCACCAGCAAAGGGGGCCACUCGAGGUUGGUGCCAUGGGGCCCCCCCAUGUGGUAGUCCAGCCCUGCAUAUGGAGACUAGGGUGACACCACAUUGCCAAGGAUAACGGUAAAUUGUAAAUGUUUGAAAGCAUCUGAACUGUACAUUUUGUAUGCUUGAAAUGACACAAAGGAGAAAAGGCCUCCAUCAUCCCAUAGGUACUCAUGGCUCAGGGAAGCAGACUGCAAAACGUAUUAUUUGUGUGUUGAAAUGACGAGGCAGUUUGAAAGGCUUGGCUGUUGCUGACAUCACAUAGACCUUUUUUGGUUUAUAACAAUAUUUUCAUUUGUUGCAUUUUCUGUAGUUAUUGCUUAAUCUAUAGAGAAACGUUGUCAACCGAUCAUGUAAAAUUAUGGUUUUGUGAUCUAGGCCAGCCUGAUGAGUGCCUUUUCCUGAUUAAUGAAGACUGAUUAAUUCAGCUCCCUAAUGUGUCUGGUAUCAGCACCAGGUUUGGACCCAACCUCCACCUUUACACGGUUUACCUACCCUUCGGCUCAGUGGGCUAGCACGUUCUGUUCUGCAGAAUUGGGUCAUGUUAAAGUUCUGCUAAUUAAAUAAAUAAGAACCUUCAGAAACAACCUUUUGUGGUCUUCUGCUGCCCCAAUUGUUUUCCUUCCUUUGUCAGCGCUGUCAGUUUCUGGGUAUCGUAAUAGUGAUUAAUAGUGUAAUAGUGAAUAGUGACUGUCUACCCUGGAUAUUGGAGAAAGUCGGUUUAGGCAGAGAUCCGCUCUUUCAUUAACAUAUAUUGGCACCCUUCAUGAGUUCUGUCUGCUGAGAGAAUUCAAUGUUCCAACGACAUCAAGGUGGUCCGUCUAAUAAUGACAUCAAGGUGGUCCGUCUAAUAACGACAUCAAGGUGGUCCGUCUAAUAACGACAUCAAGGUGGUCCUUCUAAUAACGACAUCAAGGUGGUCUGCUUAGCCUCAAGCCCCUCGCAAACCUAUCCUCCCCUAAUUUAGUCUCAGGUCACAGGUACUUACCAGCUGGGCUAAAUUAAACCUGGGUCCCUCAGGAAGAAAAACCGGUCACCUCAGCAGAUGGUUUUGUCAUUCUGAGCGUCAAACUGGGUGAGACCGGAGGUAUGUUCAUUUCCCCGACCAAUAAAAUGUCCCUACAGGACACAUUCAGUUAUGUAACCGCCCUGGGUUUGUCUGUUGGUCUGACUUAUCUGAAUGUGUCCAACAGAAAUUGUUUUUGAAAAACCUCUUUCUGGCUGAAUGAAUACAUCCCAAAUGGAAGACAAUUUUUUUGGGGAAAACCUGUCUUUAAAGCAGAGUAUUUUUCGCAGUCUGAACACCACCAAGUUCCCCACUUGACCGGUUGUCUAUGGUACUGCUAUGGCCCCUAGUCUCUCACCCAUAUUUGCUCUGGUCAAAGGUAGUGCACUAUGUGGACAAUAGGGUGCCAUUUGGGAAACAGCCCAGCUGGCCGGAGGCUAUCUGGGAGACAUACAGGAAGGAUCUAAACCACACAUGUGAUUGAUAGUGGCCCUGGGUCUCUGUUGGCUCCCUGCUGCCUGCACAGCCCAGCCAUCAGGCAGCUCCUGGUGGAAUAACACUGCAGUUGAUUGGAUGGCCCUCUGCUGAUGCAAUGUGUCAUUGUGUCAUACGGCAAUGUGUCAUUGUGUCAUACUGGAGGGUGUCAUUGUGUCAUAUGGCAGUGUGUCAUUGUGUCAUACGGCAGUGUGUCAUUGUGUCAUACGGCAGUGUGUCAU